AGUGAACGCUGGCGGUAGGCCUAACACAUGCAAGUCGAACAGCAGCACAGUAAGAGCUUGCUCUUACGGGUGGCGAGUGGCGGACGGGUGAGGAAUACAUCGGAAUCUACUUUUUCGUGGGGGAUAACGUAGGGAAACUUACGCUAAUACCGCAUACGACCUACGGGUGAAAGCAGGGGAUCUUCGGACCUUGCGCGAUUGAAUGAGCCGAUGUCGGAUUAGCUAGUUGGCGGGGUAAAGGCCCACCAAGGCGACGAUCCGUAGCUGGUCUGAGAGGAUGACCAGCCACACUGGAACUGAGACACGGUCCAGACUCCUACGGGAGGCAACAGUGGGGAAUAUUGGACAAUGGGCGCUAGCCUGAUCCAGCCAUACCGCGUGGGUGCAGAAGGCCUUCGGGUUGUAAAGCCCUUUUGUUGGGAAAGAAAAGCAGCAGGUUAAUACCCCGCUGUUCUGACGGUACCCAAAGAAUAAGCACCGGCUAACUUCGUG
rnacentral:rRNA from 1 species